rnacentral:misc_RNA from 1 species
UACGGAGGGUCCAAGCGUUAUCCGGAAUCAUUGGGUUUAAAGGGUUCGCAGGCGGUCUAUUAAGUCAGUGGUGAAAUCCCGGGGCUCAACUCCGGAACUGCCAUUGAUACUGAUAGACUUGAAUAUAGUUGAAGUAGGCGGAAUGUGUAGUGUAGCGGUGAAAUGCUUAGAUAUUACACAGAACACCGAUAGCGAAGGCAGCUUACUAAACUAUUAUUGACGCUCAUGAACGAAAGCGUGGGGAGCGAACAGG